rnacentral:rRNA from 1 species
GACGAACGCUGGCGGCGUGCCUAAUACAUGCAAGUAGAACGCUGAAGGAGGAGCUUGCUCUUCUGGAUGAGUUGCGAACGGGUGAGUAACGCGUAGGUAACCUGCCUGGUAGCGGGGGAUAACUAUUGGAAACGAUAGCUAAUACCGCAUAAAAGUAGAUGUAGCAUGACAUUUACUUAAAAGAUGCAAUUGCAUCACUACCAGAUGAACCUGCGUUGUAUUAGCAAGUUGGUGGGGGAACGGCGUAACAAGGAGACAAUACAUAGCCGACCAGAGAGGGGGGUCGGCCACCCUGGGACUGAGACCAGGCCCAGACUCCUACGGGAGGCAGCAGGAGGGGAUCUUCGGCCAAGGACGGAAGUCUGGACGAGGCACGCCGCGUGAGUGAAGAAGGGUUUCGGAUCGUUAAGCUCUGUUGUAAGAGAAGAACGAGUGUGAGAGUGGAAAGUUCACACUGUGACGGUAUCUUACCAGAAAGGGACGGCUAACUACGUG